CCUAAUUAAUUCUGCCAGUAAUUAUAUACUUAUCUCAAAAAUUAAACUAUAUAUAUCUAAAUAUAAGCAAUUAUACAGCAAAACUGCAAAUAACUUAUUAUAUAAAUUAUCAUUUAUUUAAUAAUAUCUUACUAUUUAGAUAACUAUAGUAAUUCUAAAACUAAUAUAUACUAAAAAUCCCAACUUCAGAAAGAAUAUAUUUAUUAAAUUAAAAACCAAUACCCUUCAAAGCUUACUAAUAAUUUAUAAUAACUUCUCAAAUCGCAUAACCUUAUACCAAUAAUAGUUUAUUCAAAUUUCUUCCCUAUCAACUUUUAAUACUAAAGUAAUAUUCUAGCAUAAUUACAAUAGAUAACAGAGAGUUAGAACUUAACCCUAAAGAAGGAACCUAAGAAACAGCUACUAUAUCCAAAAAAGCAGCAAGCACGCAAAUUACCCAAUCCCAACACAGAGAAGUAGUAACAAUAAAUACUAAUACAGAACUCUUUGAAAUCUUAUAAUUAAAAUAAAUACAAUUUAAAUCCCUUAACAAGGAACAAUUAGAAAGCAAGUCUGAUACCAGUAACCAUAGUAAUUCCAGCUCCAAUAGCAUAUAUUAAAAUUAUUAUAGUUAAAAACCUUAUAGUAAAACCUUAAGCCUAACUAGCCAGUCCACCUCACUAUAUACACUAAUCCAGCUAAGCUUUUCCCUCUAUAGAACUACAUACCCUUCACUAGAUAUACCAGAGAAACAGAACUUUUACUUUAAAAAAAUUAAAAUACUCCAGAUAAACCUAUACUCAAAUAUAUUAACAUAAAAUAAUAAAAUAAGAUAUAUAAUUCUAUUUUAUUAGUUUCUAGAACCACUAUAAUAAUUAAUAGAGACAGUCAGGAGUAUCAGUAUUUAAUUAUCAGAAAUAAAAUUCUUAAAUUUAUUAAAAACUAACUACUACGAAAGUAUUUACCAAAAAUAUUUUCAUUUAUCAGAAACAACAAUUAGGAAAUUAAAGAUAAUUAGAUAUUAUUAUAAUCUUAACUAUAAACUAUACUAACUAAGGAUCAAACAAUAUUAUGUUUUAACUCAUUCAGCACCUUACAAGAAAUCAAAAUACUUAAGCUCCAGAGAGAGUAUAGUCGCAAAGCUGAAACUUAAAGAAAUUAACAGAAAGGUACCACUAAAAGUAAAUAGUAACUAUUCAAACUCUACUCCAAACAGUAAACCUAUAAAAGAUCCAGUAGCUAACCCUAAAUUACUAGUCACUCCAAUAGUAACAAUAUCCCCCAAUUAUAAGAAACCCUCAGAAGGUAACAUUCCCAAGCAGCACUCAAAAAAGACACUAUAGCAGCAACAUAACAGCCGCCAGUACAGAGACAACAUACCACUCAUAAGGCAACUCACAGCCAAGCCCCUAACCACAAGGAAGAUUCAGAAACUCAACGGGAAUAAGUAACACCUCCAGACGCCACCUAAAAUAGAAUCCAUACCCACUCGAGAGAGCAGAAACUAACUAGCAUAUUACCUAAAAAGGAAGCCUACAGCUUAAUUUAACUCAACAUAAGGAAACUCACCAGAUCCAGACACAAUAAAGAUUAACAGAUUAAAAACUCUUUCUUAAUUUUAUAGGUAGUAAUACAUAGCCAUUCUUAGUUAGUAAAAUAAUUUAUCUACUUAAUUAUAAUAACAAACGAGACCUUAACCUACUAAAUAACCCAUAUUACUUUAACAGUAUACUAACUUCUUAGAGAGACUAUCAGCUUAAACUAAUAGAAGUUUAAAAUAAUAAUAAAUUAACCUUUACAAACCUAUAAUAG
rnacentral:rRNA from 1 species